rnacentral:rRNA from 1 species
AGAGUUUGAUCCUGGCUCAGAUUGAACGCUGGCGGCAGGCUUAACACAUGCAAGUCGAGCGGUAGCACGGGGGAGCUUGCUCCCUGGGUGACGAGCGGCGGACGGGUGAGUAAUGUCUGGGAAACUGCCUGAUGGAGGGGGAUAACUACUGGAAACGGAAGCUAAUACCGCAUAACAUCGCAAGACCAAAGAGGGGGACCUUCGGGCCUCUUGCCAUCAGAUGUGCCCAGAUGGGAUUAGCUAGUAGGUGGGGUAAUGGCUCACCUAGGCGACGAUCCCUAGCUGGUCUGAGAGGAUACCAGCCACACUGGAACUGAGACACGGUCCAGACUCCUACGGGAGGCAGCAGUGGGGAAUAUUGCACAAUAGGCGCAAGCCUGAUGCAGCCAUGCCGCGUGUGUGAAGAAGGCCUUCGGGUUGUAAAGCACUUUCAGCGAGGAGGAAGGUGUGAGCUUAAUACGCUCAUCAAUUGACGUUACUCGCAGAAGAAGCACCGGCUAACUCCGUGCCAGCAGCCGCGGUAAUACGGAGGGUGCAAGCGUUAAUCGGAAUUACUGGGCGUAAAGCGCACGCAGGCGGUUUGUUAAGUCAGAUGUGAAAUCCCCGGGCUCAACCUGGGAACUGCAUUUGAAACUGGCAAGCUAGAGUCUCG